ensembl:rRNA 5S_rRNA 5S ribosomal RNA
AUCUAUGGCUAUACCACCCUGAAUGCAACUGAUCUUGUCUGAUCUUGGAAGAUAAGCAGGGUUGGGCCUGGUUAGUACUGGGAUGGGAGGACUGACUUACAGUGUGAGUGGAGGGGCUGAGGUUU